rnacentral:rRNA from 1 species
GUGCCAGCAGUCGCGGUUAUACAUGGAGGGCUAGCAUUGUUCGAUAUGGCUUAAAGUAUCUGUAGAACGUUUUAUAAAAUAUAUAAAAUAGAAUAAAUUAAAAGUAAUAAGAAGUAAAGCUUGAAAGAUGAAAUGUUACGAAAGCAUUAUGACUUCAAAGAGAUUACAAAUAAUUUAUUGACGUUGUGGGAUGAAAGCUAUGGGCACGAAAUGGACUCGUUCCCCAAUUAGUCAUAGCUGUUAACUAUGAAUACAAUAAUUAUUUAAUGGCCGCAAGGCAUAUUUAUAAUAUAGAAAAAGUUAAAAUGAAUAGUAUUCCGCCUGAGAAGUACGCUCGCAAGAGUGAAAAUCAAGACAUUAGACGGUUGUAGUUAAGAGCAGUGGAACAUGUUAUUUAAU